rnacentral:rRNA from 1 species
AAUUAAAAAAUUGUUGCAGUUAAAAAGCUCGUAGUUGAAUUUCUGCUAAAAAUAACCGGUCCUGCUUUUAAUAAAGGUGGUAUCUUGGUGUGUUUUUAGCAAUAAUGUCCUUUGAAAUGUUUUUUACUUCAUUGUAAUAAAUUAUAUUNAGGAUUUUUACUUUGAGAAAAUUAGAGUGUUUCUAGCAGGCUAACGCUUUGAAUACUGCAGCAUGGAAUAAUAAAAUAGGAUUUUGGUUCUACAUUAUUGGUUUUAAGAGCUAAAUUAAUGAUUGAUAGGGACAGUUGGGGGCAUUUGUAUUUAACUGUCAGAGGUGAAAUUCUUAGAUUUGUUAAAGACAAACUACUGCCGAAAG